AUUCCUUUAUAAUAGGGAUGUGAACGCUUGGAGGGCUAGCUCGUCCCUGGGUUGUCGCGAAAAGCAAACUUUGCCCCACAUGGAUCGACAUCUAACCGUGACUCAUACCAGGUUGCAUAAAGUUGGUUUAAAUCUGGACUUUGGGUCACCUUACACAGGCCAUUGUGGGUUCAGUCUUUUUACUUUUAAGAUUCCUUGAACCGUUCAGUACUUUAAUCUUUACAACAUUGAACUCCUUUUGAGACUUACUUGCACAUGUGCAAAUUUAUGUUAAAAACUCAAGAAAUUAAAAAAAACAAAAAAAAAAAAACAAAAUAUGUGCAAAGUUGUCAGUGUAUCCAAUAAAUAUUGUUCAUUUACAAAUGAAUGAGGCUGGUGGUUUCAGAUAGAUUUUUUAAACAAAGAAUUUUUAAGAUACUGAGUUAAUUAACAGAUAUUAAUUCUUAACCAUUUUACUUUAAAACAUCCUACGAUAAAUCUGUACAACAAGAUUAUAAUAAUUUACGGAAUAAUGUGAUCUUUAAAGGAAUAAUGCUACCUCUAAUGACAUUUUCGAAAACCAUUGAUGUAAUGAUUUAUUAGUUUAAUUUAAUUUCGACAUAUAAUCAUUAUGCUGAACAUAAUGUGCUAAAUGUCACAACAUCAUAAUGUAGUCUAACACAAGGAUAAAACAAUCUUCAGAUAAUUAGGAAUUCCAACACACAGAAUUGAUAAUAAAGUGUAUCAUGUACCAUACCAUAUUUUAUUGUAGUCGCAUAUUAAUCUCCAAUUGAUUAUAUUUUACUCAUCUCUAGAUUUUCGUGGCCAUAGAUUUUCACAUAUACAAACUCCAAUUCACCAAUGCACCAAUGCUUAAUAAUAAAAAGACCUUAAGCACUUCUUGAAACUCAUCUUAAUUGAUUAUCAUGCACAUGGGUCAAGGAAUUCUGUUAGCUUAUGUCAGGAGUCAAUAGGUAAGGUCACUGGGCUGGUAAUAACAUUCCAAAAGCACACAAAGAUGAAAAGGAGAUAUACAUCUAUACAUAUACAUAUAUAUAUAUAUAUAUGUCAAUAUGUAUUGACGAGGUCUAAAUAUCUAUGAGGAACUUGUUUCCUCCCAUUGCAUCGGUGUCAAGGUGAGGAUUGU
rnacentral:lncRNA from 1 species